GAAACAUUUGUAAAAUAUUCAAGCAUUGUGCAUGGCUGACAGGACUGAAUCAGUUGUGCGUGGCUAAGAGGACAGAGUCAGGUGUGCGUGGCUGAGAGGACAGAGUCAGGUGUGCGUGGCUGAGAGGACAGAGUCAGGUGUGCGUGGCUGAGAGGACAGAGUCAGGUGUGUGUGGCUGACAGGACUGAAUCAGGUGUGUGUGGCUGAGAGGACAGAGUCAGGUGUGCGUGGCUGAGAGGACAGAGUCAGGUGUGCGUGGCUGAGAGGACAGAGUCAGGUGUGCGUGGCUGAGAGGACAGAGUCAGGUGUGCGUGGCUGAGAGGACUGAAUCAGGUGUGCGUGGCUGAGAGGACAGAAUCAGGUGUGCGUGGCUGAGAGGACAGAAUCAGUUGUGCGUGGCUGAGAGGGCAGAAUCAGGUGUGUGUGGCUGAGAGGACAGAGUCAGGUGUGUGUGGCUGAGAGGACAGAAUCAGGUGUUUGUCUGUGUAUGUGUCAGGUGAUAGUGUACUGACUGUACGCAGAGUGUAGGGAGGGCUCUCCUCUCAUCUCCUUAUGUAUGUGUCCCCUGACUCCACUCCGGC
ensembl:lncRNA